ACGGCCAUAGUCUCCUCAAAGUACCGCGUCCCGUCUGAUCCGCGAAGUCAACUAGGAGAGCGCUCGAUUUAUAGUUUUUGCUGAUUGCUUUUUAAGCCUUUUGUUCUCUUUUGCUCUUUUGAAAACAGAUCGAUAUUAACU